rnacentral:rRNA from 1 species
ACCUACAGAAGAAGUCCUGGCUAACUCCGUGCCAGCAGCCGCGGUAAUACGGAGAGGGCUAGCGUUAUUCGGAAUUAUUGGGCGUAAAGGGCGCGUAGGCGGAUUAGUAAGUUAAAAGUGAAAUCCCAAGGCUCAACCUUGGAAUUGCUUUUAAAACUGCUAAUCUAGAGAUUGAAAGAGGAUAGAGGAAUUCCUAGUGUAGAGGUGAAAUUCGUAAAUAUUAGGAGGAACACCAGUGGCGAAGGCGUCUAUCUGGUUCAAAUCUGACGCUGAGGCGCGAAGGCGUGGGGAGCAAACAGGAUUAGAUACCCUGGUAGUCCACGCUGUAAACGAUGAGUGCUA